AUGCUGGAGGUAUCAGAAGUGCGAAUGCUGACAUAAGUAACGAUAAAGCGGGUGAAAAGCCCGCUCGCCGGAAGACCAAGGGUUCCUGUCCAACGUUAAUCGGGGCAGGGUGAGUCGACCCCUAAGGCGAGGCCGAAAGGCGUAGUCGAUGGGAAACAGGUUAAUAUUCCUGUACUUGGUGUUACUGCGAAGGGGGGACGGAGAAGGCUAUGUUGGCCGGGCGACGGUUGUCCCGGUUUAAGCGUGUAGGCUGGUUUUCCAGGCAAAUCCGGAAAAUCAAGGCUGAGGCGUGAUGACGAGGCACUACGGUGCUGAAGCAACAAAUGCCCUGCUUCCAGGAAAAGCCUCUAAGCAUCAGGUAACAUUAAAUCGUACCCCAAACCGACACAGGUGGUCAGGUAGAGAAUACCAAGGCGCUUGAGAGAACUCGGGUGAAGGAACUAGGCAAAAUGGUGCCGUAACUUCGGGAGAAGGCACGCUGAUAUGUAGGUGAAGUCCCUCGCGGAUGGAGCUGAAAUCAGUCGAAGAUACCAGCUGGCUGCAACUGUUUAUUAAAAACACAGCACUGUGCAAACACGAAAGUGGACGUAUACGGUGUGACGCCUGCCCGGUGCCGGAAGGUUAAUUGAUGGGGUUAGCGGUAACGCGAAGCUCUUGAUCGAAGCCCCGGUAAACGGCGGCCGUAACUAUAACGGUCCUAAGGUAGCGAAAUUCCUUGUCGGGUAAGUUCCGACCUGCACGAAUGGCGUAAUGAUGGCCAGGCUGUCUCCACCCGAGACUCAGUGAAAUUGAACUCGCUGUGAAGAUGCAGUGUACCCGCGGCAAGACGGAAAGACCCCGUGAACCUUUACUAUAGCUUGACACUGAACAUUGAGCCUUGAUGUGUAGGAUAGGUGGGAGGCUUUGAAGUGUGGACGCCAGUCUGCAUGGAGCCGACCUUGAAAUACCACCCUUUAAUGUUUGAUGUUCUAACGUUGACCCGUAAUCCGGGUUACGGACAGUGUCUGGUGGGUAGUUUGACUGGGGCGGUCUCCUCCUAAAGAGUAACGGAGGAGCACGAAGGUUGGCUAAUCCUGGUCGGACAUCAGGAGGUUAGUGCAAUGGCAUAAGCCAGCUUGACUGCGAGCGUGACGGCGCGAGCAGGUGCGAAAGCAGGUCAUAGUGAUCCGGUGGUUCUGAAUGGAAGGGCCAUCGCUCAACGGAUAAAAGGUACUCCGGGGAUAACAGGCUGAUACCGCCCAAGAGUUCAUAUCGACGGCGGUGUUUGGCACCUCGAUGUCGGCUCAUCACAUCCUGGGGCUGAAGUAGGUCCCAAGGGUAUGGCUGUUCGCCAUUUAAAGUGGUACGCGAGCUGGGUUUAGAACGUCGUGAGACAGUUCGGUCCCUAUCUGCCGUGGGCGCUGGAGAACUGAGGGGGGCUGCUCCUAGUACGAGAGGACCGGAGUGGACGCAUCACUGGUGUUCGGGUUGUCAUGCCAAUGGCACUGCCCGGUAGCUAAAUGCGGAAGAGAUAAGUGCUGAAAGCAUCUAAGCACGAAACUUGCCCCGAGAUGAGUUCUCCCUGACUCCUUGAGAGUCCUGAAGGAACGUUGAAGACGACGACGUUGAUAGGCCGGGUGUGUAAGCGCAGCGAUGCGUUGAGCUAACCGGUACUAAUGAACCGUGAGGCUUAACCUU
rnacentral:rRNA from 1 species